UAAUAAAUACGGAUGGUUGUUAUGUACAAGAUGUCAUAGUUUAUUACUUUGAAUUUGAAAUUUAAUCGACCAUAAUAACAGAACAUUCAGUAUUUAAAUUAAAAUUAAAUAACACAUAUCUGAGAGGGUGAUAGAGCAGAUUGUUACCCCUCGAAAAGACAUUAUCAACCUUGGCUUUGCCUCAGUUGACAAUGUUUUCUCAGGGUAACAAU
rnacentral:lncRNA from 1 species